UACGUAGGGUGCGAGCGUUGUCCGGAAUUAUUGGGCGUAAAGAGCUCGUAGGCGGUCUGUCGCGUCUGCUGUGAAAACUCGGGGCUUAACCCCGGGCCUGCGGUCGAUACGGGCAGGCUAGAGUUCGGUAGGGGAGACUGGAAUUCCUGGUGUAGCGGUGAAAUGCGCAGAUAUCAGGAGGAACACCGGUGGCGAAGGCGGGUCUCUGGGCCGAUACUGACGCUGAGGAGCGAAAGCGUGGGGAGCGAACAGG
rnacentral:rRNA from 1 species